rnacentral:rRNA from 1 species
CCCUUAGAUGUUCUGGGCCGCACGCGCGCUACACUGAUACAAGCAACAAGCGGUUCCUUGGCCGACAGGUCUGGGUAAUCUUGUGAAAUUGUAUCGUGAUAGGGCUUGACGAUUGUAAUUAUUUGUCACAAACGAGGAAUUCCUAGUAAGCGCAAGUCAUCAACUUGCACUGAUUACGUCCCUGCCCUUUGUACACACCGCCCGUCGCUCCUACCGAUUGAGCGGUCCGGUGAAUAGUUCGGACUGCGCCUUGUGCAUCCUGUGCUUGGCGCGGAAAGUUCAGUAAACCUUAUCGCUUAGAGGAAGGAGAAGUCGUANCA